rnacentral:rRNA from 1 species
UAGGGAAUCUUCGGCAAUGGACGAAAGUCUGACCGAGCAACGCCGCGUGAGUGAAGAAGGUUUUCGGAUCGUAAAACUCUGUUGUUAGAGAAGAACAAGGACGUUAGUAACUGAACGUCCCCUGACGGUAUCUAACCAGAAAGCCACGGCUAACUACGUGCCAGCAGCCGCGGUAAUACGUAGGUGGCAAGCGUUGUCCGGAUUUAUUGGGCGUAAAGCGAGCGCAGGCGGUUUCUUAAGUCUGAUGUGAAAGCCCCCGGCUCAACCGGGGAGGGUCAUUGGAAACUGGGAGACUUGAGUGCAGAAGAGGAGAGUGGAAUUCCAUGUGUAGCGGUGAAAUGCGUAGAUAUAUGGAGGAACACCAGUGGCGAAGGCGGAUCACUGGCCUGUAACUGACGCUGAGGCUCGAAAGCGUGGGGAGCAAACAGG